rnacentral:rRNA from 1 species
AGAGUUUGAUCCUGGCUCAGGAUGAACGCUGGCGGCGUGCUUAACACAUGCAAGUCGAACGAAGCAGAUGAGAAAGCUUGCUUUUUUAUUUCGCUUAGUGGCGGACGGGUGAGUAACGCGUGAGUAACCUGCCCUUCAGUGGGGAAUAACAUCGAGAAAUCGGUGCUAAUACCGCAUAACGUAUUUAUGUCGCAUGACAUUUAUACCAAAGGAUUUAUUCGCUGAAGGAUGGACUCGCGUCCGAUUAGAUAGUUGGUGAGAUAAUGGCCCACCAAGUCAACGAUCGGUAGCCGAACUGAGAGGUUGAUCGGCCACAUUGGGACUGAGACACGGCCCAGACUCCUACGGGAGGCAGCAGUGGGGAAUAUUGGGCAAUGGGCGAAAGCCUGACCCAGCAACGCCGCGUGAAGGAUGAAGGUCUUCGGAUUGUAAACUUCUUUGAUUAGGGAAGAAUUUUUGACCUACCUAAAGAACAAGUCACGGCUAACUACGUGCCAGCAGCCGCGGUAAUACGUAGGUGACAAGCGUUAUCCGGAUUUACUGGGUGUAAAGGGCGUGUAGGCGGUUUUGCAAGUCAGAUGUGAAAUUCCCAGGCUUAACCUGGGCGCUGCAUCUGAAACUGCAAGACUUGAGUACUGGAGAGGAUAGUGGAAUUCCUAGUGUAGCGGUAAAAUGCGCAGAUAUUAGGAGGAACACCGGUGGCGAAGGCGACUAUCUGGACAGUAACUGACGCUGAGGCGCGAAAGCGUGGGGAGCAAACAGGAUUAGAUACCCUGGUAGUCCACGC